AUGAGUACAUACCAUAUCCUUCCAUUGAUCAUUUCUAGCCCAACCUGGUAUGGACGGAUGCUGAUCAGUUGGGAUGAAGGACAGAGCGGAAUGAACUCCCAAUGCUAUGAGGCAACUGUCCCACAUAAUGGAAAUGUCCUUUAUCCUGACUGUGGAAACUUUGCCAGGGGCAGUUCACAGGUGCUAACACUCAGGUCUUCUGAGACAAACAAGGUCUCAUCAUUUAAAUCCACGGGGGCUUCCGUAGUUCAUUGUGUUACAAGGAGGUACUUUGGAGAACUUCUAUGCUUCCAACGAAGUCUUUUGCUGGGAUAUGAAGGCAAAGAACACAUAGUCUUGUUUUCAUCACGUUUAAGAAUUUUCACUUGACCUCAGGAUCAAAGUAAUGAACAGAUGAGGUCUAUGACAAGUUAGUGCCUGAAAGACACUGGAUAAAAUGAGCUUUGCUCUUCCCUUGGCAUUAUAUGCUGUUCCCUGCAUUCUUGCCCCCUUCACCUUUAUCCCAUCACUUGCUUCUGUCCUUCUGCUCCAUUUAUGAAUAUUUCCAUCAACGAAUAUCUUCUAUCUUACUAACAAGAUCCAUCUUCCUGGCAAUGCUAUAAGAUGUCAACAGCUACAAGAACCUUCUCCAACCUCCCCCGAACUUCAUGGGACGUCCCUGGGGCAGGCUUCCCCAGUCUCACGCUGAUUCUGCACACCUACAUACAGAAUAAUUCUGGGUAACACACUCUACCUUAGGGUCUGCCGUCUGGAUCUCCAAGUCCUAAAAACCAUCUGUAAUUUAGAAGUACAUCCAAUAGCCUACUUUCACUGUAGAGUAACCUGAUUCCUUUGUUAGUUAGCUCCAUUCCUUCCAAGGUUCCUUCUCAAGAUGUUGGAGUAGCCCCAGCUGCUGUCCAACCCCAUAAAUCACACAUUUCUCUAGCCCCAUUCUUUUUCACCUUCUUUUCCAAUGCCAUGCAUCCAAUCGUCUUUUACAAGAACCAUCUCAUCCUGCCAUCUUCAACUCAGAGCUCCUACAAAGUCCAUGUGACUUUGCUAAAAGGUUCGACAUGGUCAUGUCUUCCUGGAGCUCUCACUGCCUCCAGACCUGGGAAGUCCGUGGUCAUUUCUCAUGGGCCUUCUUGGGUGAUCUGAACCCACGGCAUUGGCUGUGUGAAACCUAGAGACCAUGGUGCCAAUUUACUAAGAGCAGUUGUUUCUCAUAAAUUAGAACAUAUACAUUAGAUCAAAUAUUGAAAGGAAAUGUUGUGUUUCUACCAUAAUAUUUAGACUUUAUGAUGGCCUAUGGAACUGGAAAAUAGGUGUGGGGUGUGUGUGUGUUUUCUCCAUUUUCCCAUGACGUCCAGAGAAAGUUAGCCUCAAGAACCAUUACUACGUUUUCACAGCACAAAAUGCUCCUAGCCUUAAUAAAAUGAACCCACUAAAAGGAAGCUUUGGAAAU
rnacentral:lncRNA from 1 species